UACAGAGGUCCCAAGCGUUGUUCGGAUUCACUGGGCGUAAAGGGUGCGUAGGUGGCCGGGUAAGUCUGACGUGAAAUCUCCGAGCCUAACUCGGAAACUGCAUCGGAUACUAUCCGGCUUGAGGGUUGGAGGGGGGACUGGAAUACUUGGUGUAGCAGUGAAAUGCGCAGAUAUCAGGAGGAACACCAAUUGCGAAGGCAGCUCGCUGGGACGUUACUGACGCUGAGACGCGAAAGCGUGGGGAGCAAACAGG
rnacentral:rRNA from 1 species